UGUGAGUUUAAAUAAAUCGUCUAAGGACUACGACUAUAAAGUUAAAACUUAAAGAACAUGGCGGCUUGAGCCAUUCAGGGGAACUUACUUCGUAAACGAUAACCCACGAGUUAAUCAUCCUAUUUAACAAGGCUUAUAUACCGCCGUCUAGUGUCGAAUUAAGUUGGGCGCAAACAGGUCUUCCCUGUAUUACAGGUCAUGGUGUAGCGUAUGGAUAGGGGUCUAGCGAGUUACAAUAAAAAAUUUUUUCGGAUUCUUAGUUUUUAAGUAAGAUGAAGAUGGACUUGAAAGUAAAAAUCAACAAAAUAAAUUUUGGCUUAUUAAACUUAAGUGU
rnacentral:rRNA from 1 species